UCUCCCAAGGCUAAAUACUCCCUAGUGACCGAUAGUGAACCAGUACCGUGAGGGAAAGGUGAAAAGCACCCCGGAAGGGGAGUGAAAGAGAUCCUGAAACCGUGUGCCUACAAGUAGUCAGAGCCCGUUAACGGGUGAUGGCGUGCCUUUUGUAGAAUGAACCGGCGAGUUACGAUCCCGUGCAAGGUUAAGCAGAAGAUGCGGAGCCGCAGCGAAAGCGAGUCUGAAUAGGGCGAAUUGAGUACGUGG
rnacentral:rRNA from 1 species